rnacentral:rRNA from 1 species
UGGGUAACCUGUCCCGAAGACCGGGAUAACACCGGGAAACCGGUGCUAAUACCGGAUGUCCCCACCAAGCCACAUGACCUGGUGAGGAAAUGGAUUCCGCUUCGGGAGGGGCUCGCGGGCUAUCAGCUUGUUGGUGGGGUAAUGGCCUACCAAGGCGACGACGGGUAGCCGGCCUGAGAGGGCGACCGGCCACACUGGGACUGAGACACGGCCCAGACUCCUACGGGAGGCAG